ncrna:unclassified sequences DTF805b RNA
AGAGCGGAAGCCGAAAAGCUAAAAGAGUAGGCA